UUAUGCUACCAGGGGUGCUGUGUUACAAUAUUUGGGUUUUUAAGUCUUUCUGAAUUCUUAGUGUUUAAUUUCUUUUGAAUCUCCAUAGCUGUUUGCUGUUCUGACUUCUCUAGAGAUCAAGGUUUCUGAGGAUUGCUGCUUCAGCUUCUGCCUGCUGCCCCCAAGCCCUGUACCUCUUUUCAGAGACUGGAGAUGUCGGAAGGAUGAUUCAGUGACUGUGCUGCACAGGGUACACAGUAAAACUUUCAGUGGGCUGGGCUUCUCUUUCUCCAUCACAAUUACAUCUGAUGAGAGUGGCAUGAAGGAAAGACAUCCAUGGCACAAUUUAGGUAAAGACCAGCCUACCCUGGAGGGGGGAACAUGAAACCUUCAUGUACCCUGGGGUGCAAAUAACUUGGUCUUGGCCAUAAAAAAGAUGACAAUGACCAAUAUUUCCAAGAUCCCAAGCCUAGAAGAAAGAAUACACUCAGCUGUGGUCACAGGUAUCCUGCAGGACCUGACCUCUUUGAAGACCAAAGGCAAUUGGGAAAAUAGCAUGUAAAACUAUAAGAGAUUUUAGUGAUCAUCUAAUUUGGGCCCCUCAUUCACAGAAGAAGAAACUGAGGCCUAGAGGAGGAAGUGAUCUACUUAAAAUGACACCAGACUCUUCUAUAAAUUAGAAACCCCCUCAGCUUUCCCUUUCCUCCAUUCUCCUUGGCUUUUAUAAACAAAACUAUGCCAGGUACCUUUUGGGGACUCUGGUAAAGUCUAUCGAGUCUUUCUUAAAAUAAUGUUUUUAAAUGAAUAAAAUAAAAUAUGUUGACUUAAAAAGAAAAGCAAUUAUAUUGAGAUACAAUUAUCAAAAUGUUAAAAAAAUUUUGUGACCCCAAGUUAAAAUUCACAAUUUAAAUAACAGCUGAUAUUUCUAUAGUACUUUAAAAGCAUUUUAACUAGAGGCAGUCAAAUAGCACAGGGGAUAGAGCACCAGAUCUGAAAUCAGUAGACAUGGGUUCAAAUUUGGCUUCAAACUCUUCCUAGUUGUAUUUCCCUGUGCAAGUCACCUGUUUGCUUAGCCCUUAUUCUUUUGUCUUAGAGUUGUUCCUAAGAUAAAAAGUAAGGGUUUAAAAUAAAAAAAAAUUAAUUAGAGUCUCACAACAAAUGUGUGGGUAGGUAAUGAAACUGUUAUUAUUUCCACUUACAGACUUUAGAAAGGUUGAGUGGCUUGCCUUAUAAUAGCAAGUGUCAAAAGUGAGAUUCAAACCCAAAUCUUCCCGAUUUGAAAUCCAGGACUCAGUCUGUCCUAUGGUGCCUUUCUUUUUGCUCCAAAGAAUUCAUGAAUUGAUUGUGCUUUUAGUCUUCACUUAUAUUUCUUGCCAAAUCAACAGAAAAUGCAUAGAUUGUUGGUGCUGAAUAUUGAAAUGAUCAGGAAAACAGGGUCUCCAAAAGGGAAGCAAUGCUGUGAAGGAUGUGAGCUCUCCUGGUAAGAGCAGCUGUUUGGACCUGGGAAAUCACUGUUGCUGGGAGUAUGAAAGUUCAAUUCUAUCUGCCUCGGCUUUUGCCAGGUUGCUGUGCCCCUUCCUGCUUCCAACUGCAAUUAUAGAGAUGAUAAAAUGGAAAAUAAAUAUUUGUGCAAUGGAUGGGAAAAGCCAAUUAGUUUUGCACCGGUGAGAAAUAAUGCACAGCUACUCACCUCCUUUAAUAAGUUGGCUCUCCAUGUAUAUUGUAAAAUGUAUCUUUGCAGUCCUACUGUAUUUGGAAAUUUAAGUGCCACUAGAACAAAGUAUGUAUUCUGCAAGUUGUAAUAUUAGAGGGAAUAAGGCAAUAAAAUUUCUAUAUUUUAUUAGAAGAAAAAAUAAUUAAA